GUUGUAACACUAGUUCUCAUACGAUCACCAAAAUUAAGCAACAUUAAGCUUGGUUAGUACCAAGAUGGGUGACCACUUGGGAAUAUCAGGUGUU